UAGAAAAUUUCUAGAAAUUGAAAACUUCUUCUGGAUAUUACACCCAACCCCAUAAGUACUACAUCCACUUACCACUAUCACAUUCAAUUCAAAUCCACAAUCAUAAAUAUUACAUUCACUUACCUAUGUUAUCUGUGAUUGUCUGUGAUCAUGUUAGUCUAAUUUGUGAUUGUAUGUAACAAAGUCACAUACAAUUACAAUUAACAUAGAUCUGGUAACAGACAAUCACAAUGAAAAUAGAUUUAGUCACACCACGUUGCCGUCACUACCACCAAUCCCAACAAUAUCGAGAACAGAAAGCACACAACUUUACCAUGACCACAUGCACCACCAGCAACAACACCAUCGCCGCCUACACUACCACCAACAAAACCACCCUACAGAUCGGGAAAUCACGAGCACCAUUUGAAAAACACCAACAACCAUACCAAAAUUUUGGCUAAACAAUAGAUCUAAUAAAACAAUCACCCACCACAUCUGAUUAAACAACUGUUUACACCAACACAUCAAACAACAGAUCUGCAUUUCCCACAAAAACUGAACUAGAACAACUUGCCCUUCA
rnacentral:lncRNA from 1 species